UACGUAGGGGGCAAGCGUUGUCCGGAUUUAUUGGGCGUAAAGAGCGUGUAGGCGGCUUUACAGGUCCGUUGUGAAAACUCGAGGCUCAACCUCGAGACGCCGGUGGAAACCGUAAAGCUAGAGUCCGGAAGAGGCGAGUGGAAUUCCUGGUGUAGCGGUGAAAUGCGCAGAUAUCAGGAGGAACACCUAUUACGAAGGCAGCUCGCUGGGACGUAACUGACGCUAAGGCGCGACAGCGUGGGGAGCAAACAGG
rnacentral:rRNA from 1 species